GUCGAACGCUGGCGGCGUGCCUAAUACAUGCAAGUCGAACGCCGUUGCGAACGGGUGAGUAACGCGUAUGUAACUGCCUCAUAGCGGGGGGUAACUAUUUGAAACGAUAGCUAAUACCGCAUACUUUGACAUGGACCUGCGUUGGAUUAGCUAGUUGGUAAGGUAAAGGCUCACCAAGGCGACGAUACAUAGCCGGCCUGAGAGGGUGAUCGGCCACACUGGGACUGAGACACGGCCCAGACUCCUACGGGAGGCAGCAGUAGGGAAUCUUCGACAAUGGACGGAAGUCUGACGGAGCAACGCCGCGUGAGUGAAGAAGGUUUUAGGAUCGUAAAACUCUGUUGUUAGAGAAGCGGUAUCUAACCAGAAAGCAACGGCUAACUACGUGCCAGCAGCCGCGGUAAUUC
rnacentral:rRNA from 1 species